GGGUGCUUGAGGCUUUCUGCCUUAAGCAUGUUGCAGACGGCAGAAAGAGAAAAGCCCCACUUUGACACUUAAUCAAAAUGAGGCCAUCUCUAAUGCUCCACAACAUUAGGUUAGCUUCUUGCGUGCCGAAAGGCAAGGAGACGCAACCAUG
rfam:Triticum urartu cultivar G1812 contig925550, whole genome shotgun sequence.